rnacentral:rRNA from 1 species
UACGGAAGGCAGCAGUGGGGAAUAUUGGACAAUGGGCGCAAGCCUGAUCCAGCCAUGCCGCGUGUGUGAAGAAGGCCUUUUGGUUGUAAAGCACUUUAAGCGAGGAGGAGGCUCUCUUAGUUAAUACCUAAGAUGAGUGGACGUUACUCGCAGAAUAAGCACCGGCUAACUCUGUGCCAGCAGCCGCGGUAAUACAGAGGGUGCGAGCGUUAAUCGGAUUUUACUGGGCGUAAAGCGUGCGUAGGCGGCUUUUUUAAGUCGGAUGUGAAAUCCCCGAGCUUAACUUGGGAAUUGCAUUCGAUACUGGGAAGCUAGAGUAUGGGAGAGGAUGGUAGAAUUCCAGGUGUAGCGGUGAAAUGCGUAGAGAUCUGGAGGAAUACCGAUGGGCGAAGGGCAGCCAUCUGGGCCUAAUACUGACGCUGAGGUACGAAAGCAUGGGGAGCAAACAGGGAUUAGAUACC